GGUAAAUAAAAAAAGUGCCUAUUUUUCGUUUUAGUAAGAGAAUAGACUAAAUUUUCAGGAACACCUGUUGAUAUGCUAAAGUAGCAUCCGGGUUCCAGCCUGAUUAUUCCUUCUGUAAGGUCUUUCUAGUUGGAUAGGGCUUAAUUUUCUAUUUUGAUUGACGGGAUGUGUAUUAUUACGUCGCUAAUGAUAAAUAGGCUGAGUGAAGAGUUAUAUCAUAUGAUGCAAGAAGUAUGUAUUCAUAAUUUCAUAUUCAAACAAGAUUGCAGUAGCAUCUCAACACGAAGAGCCUUAGUUGGAUAAAGUUUCAAAUCUUUGCAGCGAGUUAGCUGAUGAUGUAAAACUGUUCCUGAUUAAGGCUCUUUGGAAUUGGAAUGCUAAAGCAUCCUCCUUUACGACACUAUAUUCUGAGCAAAAAGAAAAAAGUGUAUGUUUUGAAUAUGACGGUUGUCCAUUGAUUUGAGGAUCAUUUAGAAGAUCCGAUGAGGCCAGUGACUAGGGCCAGGCAUUCGUGAUUGCAAACCCCUCGUCCAUCCCUAUAGUUGUACAAUUUAUUUACAGGGACUAGGACCAGGACUAGGCGAUGAAAAUUCGCCAACUUUAUUAAUGUUGAGUUGGACCGCAUUUGUCGUCAAAUUAACGGGGCCAAAUUUCAGGUGGAAGGGCCAUCAGUUUUUGCAGCCACUAAGUAGAAGUUUUUCCUGAU
rnacentral:lncRNA from 1 species